rnacentral:rRNA from 1 species
UACGUAGGGAGCUAGCGUUGUCCGGAAUCAUUGGGCGUAAAGCGCGCGUAGGCGGCCCGGUAAGUCCGCUGUGAAAGUCAAAGGCUCAACCUUUGAAUGUCAGCGGAUACUGCCGGGCUAGAGUCCGGAAGAGGCGAGUGGAACUCCUGGUGUAGCGGUGGAAUGCGCAGAUAUCAGGAAGAACACCAACGGCGAAGGCAGCUCGCUGGGACGGAACUGACGCUGAGGCACGAAAGCGUGGGGAGCAAACAGG